rnacentral:rRNA from 1 species
CGGCCUACGGGAGGCAGCAGUAGGGAAUCUUCCACAAUGGGCGAAAGCCUGAUGGAGCAACGCCGCGUGGAGGAUGAAGGUUUUCGGAUUGUAAACUCCUUUUGUUAGAGAAGAUAAUGACGGUACCUGGGGAGGAAGCUCCGGCUAACUACGUGCCAGCAGCCGCGGUAAUACGUAGGGAGCGAGCGUUGUCCGGAAUUACUGGGUGUAAAGGGAGCGUAGGCGGGGAUGCAAGUUGGGUGUCAAAACUACCGGCUCAACUGGUAGUCGCACUCAAAACUGCAGCUCUUGAGUGAAGUAGAGGG